CUUAUGAUUUAGAUAAUCAAUAAAGUACUUCCAUUUUAGAACUAUUAGGUCAUGAGCAAAAUGGAUGGAGCAAAGAGAUCUGUGUUAAGACUGUGAAAGAUGGCAAAAUAGUGUGAACUGCUGAGAGCCAAAGGAGAGAGAAGCCAAUCUGAAACAAUCAGGAACUAUCAGGUUGAAAGCUCGUAUGUCCAAUGAUUACAGUGGAACCCCUGUUCUGGAACUUACUUCAUUCUGGAAGGCUAUUUGAGAAGCAAUUUGUUCGAAAACCAAAUCAUUCUUUCUCAUUAGAAAUCAUGUAAGUUGAAUUAAUUUAUUCUAGAUCCCUAAGUGAUUCCCUAUUUAACCUUUCUUAUAUACAAUAGGUCUAAUAUCCUGUUUAACCUAUAAACAAAUACUUCUUUUCUUAAAUUUA